GAUGAACGCUGGCGGCGUGCCUAAUACAUGCAAGUCGAGCGAACGGACGAGAAGCUUGCUUCUCUGAUGUUAGCGGCGGACGGGUGAGUAACACGUGGAUAACCUACCUAUAAGACUGGGAUAACUUCGGGAAACCGUAGCUAAUACCGGAUAAUAUUUUGAACCGCAUGGUUCAAAAGUGAAAGACGGUCUUGCUGUCACUUAUAGAUGGAUCCGCGCUGCAUUAGCUAGUUGGUAAGGUAACGGCUUACCAAGGCAACGAUGCAUAGCCGACCUGAGAGGGUGAUCGGCCACACUGGAACUGAGACACGGUACAGACUCCUACGGGAGGCAGCAGUAGGGAAUCUUCCGAGAUGGGCGAAAGCCUGAAGGAGCAACGCAGCGUGAGUGAUGAAGGUCUUCGGAUCGUAAAACUCUGUUAUUAGGGAAGAACAUAUGUGGAAGUAACGGUGCACAUCGUGACGGUACCUAAACAGAAAGCCACGGCUAACUACGUG
rnacentral:rRNA from 1 species